ensembl:lncRNA
GAAAGACAAAGAAUUUGAUGAAAUUUAUAUUUGGAUGGGCUGCUAAACAACCAAAUGGCUCAGUUUACUCCAUAGCUUUGGCAAACGUCUGUGUGUUUCGUUUUACAGAUCAAAUUAGGAUUUCAGUAAAACAUAAAACAUCUUUCCUUAUUAGGACCUUUUGCUGGUCCCCCAGGGAGACAUUUCUUUGGCUUAGAGAUUGGUUUUGGGAUCAAACUUACAAUUGGGUUUGGUGCUAGAAUGGGGGUUGCAUUCAGGUUCAGGCAUAAUGGGUUAGAUUUAGGGUUAUGGCUAUAAAUACAAGGAUAUGGGUGUGUUUGUGUGUGUGUAUUUGUGGAAAAUAUGUGGGUUAGGGUUAUCUGUAUGACAUGCCUGCAGAAGAGAUCUGAACUCCCUCCACUGGUGUUAUAGGGUAAGGACUUGAGGUUGUGCCCUAUGAAUCUUUCCUGUGGUAAACUGGUUAUUUGUUGUCCUGUUGUAAUUCCAGAGCACUUUGGUAAACUGAAGUAGUGCACAAUUACUUCAGCAUUUCAAUACUCUAGUAAACCAGUACUCUAACAUACCCGCAUACCAGUACCCCAGCAUUUCAAUACUCUAGUACACCAGUACUCUAACAUACCCGCAUACCAGUACCCCAGCAUUUCAAUACUCUAGUACACCAGUACUCUAACAUACCCGCAUACCAGUACCCCAGCAUUUCAAUACUCUAGUACACCAGUACUCUAACAUACCCGCAUACCAGUACCCCAGUAUUUCAAUACUCUAGUACACCAGUACUCUAACAUACCCGCAUACCAGUACCCCAGUAUUUCAGUGCACCAGGAAUCCAAUAUUCUAAAUACACCAGUAAUUUAACAUACCAGUACCCCAGUAUUUCAAUACGCCAGUACUUCCGGUCACCAGCACUCCAGUUCACCAGUAUUCCAAUACACUAGUACAUCGGUACUCCAGUAUUCCUGUACACUAGUACUUCAGUUCACCAGUUCAAAAGGUCACCAGUACUCUAGUUUACCAGUAAUCCAGUCCUCUAGUACACCAGUUCUCCAGAAGUCCAGUACUUCAGUACUCCCACCAACUAUUAAAGUGAUCCCAAUAUGGGAGCAGUAAUCACCGUUAAAGGGAACCAGUGUCAUAUGGCAGAUCCAUCCACCAACCCAACAUACAAACCCUGUUUUAUAUUUAACCCAGAGGGAAGGCUCUAAUGUACAUGGAACAUAUGUCAUAUGGCAGGUCCACAGCCAUACACCAAGCCAUGUUUUAUAUUUAACCCAGAGGGGAGGCUCUAAUGUACAUGGAACAUAUGUCAUAUGGCAGGUCCACAGCCAUACACCAAGCCAUGUUUAAUAUUUAACCCAGAGGGGAGGCUCUAAUGUACAUGGAACAUAUGUCAUAUGGCAGGUCCACAGCCAUACACCAAGCCAUGUUUAAUAUUUAACCCAGAGGGGAAGCUCUAAUGUACAUGGAACAUAAGAAGUACAGCAAGUGUUAACGUAAUUGAAGGAGUGAAACAGCCAUUUAUACUUAGUUGAUAUACUCCUCUUCACUUGCCCUUCAUCUCCUUCUUUUAGCAGAUUCCCUCAUUCUUGACUUGAUAGGAAUGUUCCCUGGCCCCCGCCUUUACUCUAAAAGGAGCUGG